rnacentral:rRNA from 1 species
CCUACGGGGCGCAGCAGUGGGGGAUAUUGCACAAUGGGGGAAACCCUGAUGCAGCGACGCCGCGGGGGGGAAGGCGGUCCUCUGGAUUGUAAACCACUGUCCCCAGGGACGAAGAUGACGGUACCUGGGGAGGAAGCUCCGGCUAACUACGAGCCAGCAGCCGCGGUAAUACGAAGGGAGCGAGCGUUGUCCGGAAUUACUGGGUGUAAAGGGAGCGUAGGCGGGGAUGCAAGUUGGGGGUCAAAACUACCGGCUCAACUGGGAGUCGAACUCAAAACUGAAGCUGUUGGGUGAAGAAGAGGGAG